UACGGAGGGUGCAAGCGUUAAUCGGAAUUACUGGGCGUAAAGCGCACGCAGGUGGCUGAGUCAGUCGAUUGUGAAAGCCCUGGGCCUAACCUGGGAAUUGCAGUCGAUACUACUCAGCUAGAGUAUGGGAGAGGGUAGUGGAAUUCCCGGUGUAGCGGUGAAAUGCGUAGAUAUCGGGAGGAACAUCAGUGGCUAAGGCGGCUACCUGGCCCAAUACUGACACUCAGGUGCGACAGCGUGGGGAGCAAACAGG
rnacentral:rRNA from 1 species